UGUUGUUGGAGUGGAGGCUCAGGGACGCUGCUCUGGUUCGUGUUAGGGUAGCCACAGAGCUCCUGGUUCCCAGCUGGGUCCUGCAGAUGGUCGUUGAUCGUUGCCGCGGCGGCCAUCUGAUUAACAAAAAACAUGUCCAUCCUGAAAGAUCUUGGAGCAACACCGUUUAGUCCUUCAUUUCAAAUCAAAUAGAUAUAUCAAUCUCUAUACCAUCACGUUCCAAUACAUGUGCCAUGCCUGACAAAGUGCUUACACACAACAGACGUAGGCAUUUCCUAAGCGCUUAAAGUCAAGUGCAGAGGUAUUGAACAAGAACAUUCUGACAAUGGAAUUUAGGGAUACUAUUAAGUUAGGUAAGCCAGAAUUAUAAAGAUGACAUACCUUUUCAUGGAGAGCCGCAACAGCUUUCAUCAUAAGCUGCGACUGCACAAAAUUUACCAUUGGUGAGCAUCACCAGCAAUGUACUUUUUUGGGCAAUCAACUUAUGUUUUCUUCUCUAAGUGUUGCUUUCAAAGCUAAGUGUACCCUUCAACUUCCACCCGGCAAACUAAAGAUUCUACAGAUGUUCAGCCACUAUGAGGGACUAAAAGACAUUUUUAGUUGCUUUCUUAUCUUUUAUGCUCUUCUUCUAAUCAGUUUACAGGAUUAGUAUCUGAUGUUUAGGUGCUUAUUAUCAUUUCCCCUUGUAGUUUUCUCUCUUAAAGGACGAAAAUGUAAAUAUUUAAUCAGGACAUGUAACUAACCUUUCUCUUCC